rnacentral:tRNA from 1 species
GCCUCCGUCGCAUAACGGUAUUGCACCGGACUUGAGAUCCGGGCCCUUGUGGCUCGCAGGUUCGACUCCUGCCGGGGGCG